rnacentral:lncRNA from 1 species
UUAUAUUUUGCGGUCUCAGAAAGAGCUAGCGAGAUACCAUAUGUUCGUACUGCUUCAUGUUUGUUUUGAUUGAACUGUUGACGUUUGAAACCUAUUAUUAUUUGCUCGCUAGUUGAUUAUGCCAUUGAUAUGAGUUUACCGUGAGACCUAGAUGUCAUUUGCUUAUGUGGUUAGCUUGUGCUCUUGCUGAAAUUCUGGAUAUGAGUUAGACAUAGUUGCAACAACAAGAUCAAACAGAGUUCGUAAAAGUUUUUCUUUUGUCUCUUUCAGUUUGUCAACUGAAUUGCUUGAGGACAAGCAAGGUUUUAUGCUUGGG